rnacentral:rRNA from 1 species
AGGCCGAAAGGCGUAGUCGAUGGGAAACGGGUUAAUAUUCCCGUACUUGGUGUUACUGCGAAGGGGGGACGGAGAAGGCUAUGUUGGCCGGGCGACGGUUGUCCCGGUUUAAGCGUGUAGGUGUGUGUUCCAGGUAAAUCCGGUUCACUUUAACACUGAGGCGUGACGACGAGGCACUACGGUGCUGAAGCAACAAAUGCCCUGCUUCCAGGAAAAGCCUCUAAGCAUCAGGUAACAUCAAAUCGUACCCCAAACCGACACAGGUGGUCAGGUAGAGAAUACCAAGGCGCUUGAGAGAACUCGGGUGAAGGAACUAGGCAAAAUGGUGCCGUAACUUCGGGAGAAGGCACGCUGACACGUAGGUGAAGUGAUUUACUCAUGGAGCUGAAGUCAGUCGAAGAUACCAGCUGGCUGCAACUGUUUAUUAAAAACACAGCACUGUGCAAACACGAAAGUGGACGUAUACGGUGUGACGCCUGCCCGGUGCCGGAAGGUUAAUUGAUGGGGUCAGCGCAAGCGAAGCUCCUGAUCGAAGCCCCGGUAAACGGCGGCCGUAACUAUAACGGUCCUAAGGUAGCGAAAUUCCUUGUCGGGUAAGUUCCGACCUGCACGAAUGGCGUAAUGAUGGCCAGGCUGUCUCCACCCGAGACUCAGUGAAAUUGAACUCGCUGUGAAGAUGCAGUGUACCCGCGGCAAGACGGAAAGACCCCGUGAACCUUUACUAUAGCUUGACACUGAACAUUGAGCCUUGAUGUGUAGGAUAGGUGGGAGGCUUUGAAGUGUGGACGCCAGUCUGCAUGGAGCCGACCUUGAAAUACCACCCUUUAAUGUUUGAUGUUCUAACGUGGACCCGUUACCCGGGUUGCGGACAGUGUCUGGUGGGUAGUUUGACUGGGGCGGUCUCCUCCUAAAGAGUAACGGAGGAGCACGAAGGUUGGCUAAUCCUGGUCGGACAUCAGGAGGUUAGUGCAAUGGCAUAAGCCAGCUUGACUGCGAGCGUGACGGCGCGAGCAGGUGCGAAAGCAGGUCAUAGUGAUCCGGUGGUUCUGAAUGGAAGGGCCAUCGCUCAACGGAUAAAAGGUACUCCGGGGAUAACAGGCUGAUACCGCCCAAGAGUUCAUAUCGACGGCGGUGUUUGGCACCUCGAUGUCGGCUCAUCACAUCCUGGGGCUGAAGUAGGUCCCAAGGGUAUGGCUGUUCGCCAUUUAAAGUGGUACGCGAGCUGGGUUUAGAACGUCGUGAGACAGUUCGGUCCCUAUCUGCCGUGGGCGCUGGAGAACUGAGGGGGGCUGCUCCUAGUACGAGAGGACCGGAGUGGACGCAUCACUGGUGUUCGGGUUGUCAUGCCAAUGGCACUGCCCGGUAGCUAAAUGCGGAAGAGAUAAGUGCUGAAAGCAUCUAAGCACGAAACUUGCCCCGA